GACGAACGCUGGCGGCGUGCUUAACACAUGCAAGUCGAGCGGUAAGGCCCUUUCGGGGGUACACGAGCGGCGAACGGGUGAGUAACACGUGGGUGACCUGCCCUCAGCUCUGGGAUAAGCCUGGGAAACCGGGUCUAAUACUGGAUAUGACUCCAUGACGCAUGUUGUGGGGUGGAAAGCCUUGUGCGGCUGAGGAUGGGCCCGCGGCCUAUCAGCUUGUUGGUGGGGUGANGGCCUACCAAGGCGACGACGGGUAGCCGGCCUGAGAGGGCGACCGGCCACACUGGGACUGAGACACGGCCCAGACUCCUACGGUAGGCAGCAGUGGGGAAUCUUGCGCAAUGGGCGAAAGCCUGACGCAGCGACGCCGCGUGAGGGAUGAC
rnacentral:rRNA from 1 species